rnacentral:lncRNA from 1 species
CUUGACCAGUCAGUCUUAUAGCAGAAAGUCAAAGCUCUGCAGUUAAGAAGAAAAAUACACCACUGAAACUUUCAGAUGCCUUGAGACAAGAUUCUUCUUCCAGAAUUCUAGUAUCAUUCCAAGGCUGGACUCUUCAGAAGUGAUUGCCUGCAAAUUUAGGAUGAGAACAAAAUCACAGUUCAAGGUUAGUAUUUUUGAAGGAUAAAGAAAAGCAAAACAUUAAAAUAUCUCCAACUAAUGAACUAUUGUCUGUUUUAGUAUACUUUCAUGUUUUUUUUAAAAAAGAGAAGUAAAAAGAAAAAUGAAAUCAUUUUUAUUAUAUGAUAUUCAAGGUCAAACGAAGCCACAAGAGUUCAUAUAGGGAAAGGUACCACAUGUGGCAUAUUAUGUCUUUUUAUAUUUUGCUGCCUAUCACAGUCUUCUAAAGCUAAACUUU